rnacentral:rRNA from 1 species
GCCAGCGGCGAUAGCACGUUGAAUACACCAGUUCUCCACAGAUCACUGAAGUUAAGCAACGUUGUGCGUGUUUGGUAUCCGGAUAGUUGACCAUCAGGGCAAUCCCGUGCUGCUGGCU